AGGCGCGACGGGUAGCCGGCCUGAGAGGGUGACCGGCCACACUGGGACUGAGACAGGGCCCAGACUCCUACGGGAGGCAGCAGUGGGGAAUAUUGCACAAUGGGCGCAAGCCUGAUGCAGCGACGCCGCGUGAGGGAUGACGGCCUUCGGGUUGUAAACCUCUUUCAGUAGGGAAGAAGCGAGAGUGACGGUACCUGCAGAAGAAGCACCGGCUAACUACGUGCCAGCAGCCGGCGGUAAUACGUUAGGGUGCGAGCGUUAUCCGGAAUUAUUGGGCGUAAAGAGCUCGUAGGCGGUUUGUCGCGUCUGUCGUGAAGUCCGGGGCUUAACCCCGGAUC
rnacentral:rRNA from 1 species